CUGGCUCAGGAUGGACGCUGGCGGCGUGCUUAACACAUGCAAGUCGAACGAGGUGCUUCGGAUGAAGUUUCGGAUGGAUUUGUUGCACUGAGUGGCGGACGGGUGAGUAACGCGUGGGAACCUGCCCCAUUCCGGGGGAUACCAGUUGGAAACGACUGUUAAUACCGCAUAAGCGCACGGGAGCGCAUGGUCCUGUGUGAAAAAACUCCGGUGGAAUGGGAUGGCCCCCGCGUCUGAUUAGCCAGUUGGUGAGGUAACGGCCCACCAAAGCGACGAUCAGUAGCCGGCCUGAGAGGGCGACCGGCCACAUUGGGACUGAGACACGGCCCAAACUCCUACGGGAGGCAGCAGUGGGGAAUAUUGCACAAUGGAGGAAACUCUGAUGCAAGCGACGCCGCGUGAGUGAAGGAGUAUUUCGGUAUGUAAAGCUCUAUCGGCAGGGAAGAAGAUGACGGUACCUGCAGAAGAAGCCCCGGCUAACUACGUGCCAGCCGCAGC
rnacentral:rRNA from 1 species